UACGUAGGGCGCAAGCGUUGUCCGGAAUUAUUGGGCGUAAAGAGCUCGUAGGUGGCGUGUCGCGUCUGCCGUGAAAGCCCAUGGCUUAACUGUGGGUCUGCGGUGGAUACGGGCAGGCUGGAGGCUGGUAGGGGCAAGCGGAAUUCCUGGUGUAGCGGUGAAAUGCGCAGAUAUCGGGAGGAACACCAAUGGCGAAGGCAGCUCACUGGCCCGGUACUGACGCUGAGGAGCGAAAGCGUGGGGAGCGAACAGG
rnacentral:rRNA from 1 species